rnacentral:rRNA from 1 species
GCAAGUCGCACGGACCUUUCGGGGUGAGUGGCGGACGGGUGAGUAUCGCGUAGGGAUCCAUCCAUGGGUGGGGGAUAACAUCGGGAAACUGGUGCUAAUACCGCAUGAUACCUGAGGGUCAAAGGCGCAAGUCGCCUGUGGAGGAGCCUGCGUUCGAUUAGCUUGUUGGUGGGGUAAAGGCCUACCAAGGCGAUGAUCGAUAGCUGGUCUGAGAGGAUGAUCAGCCGCACUGGGACUGAGACACGGCCCAGACUCCUACGGGAGGCAGCAGUGGGGAAUAUUGGACAAUGGGCGAAAGCCUGAUCCAGCAAUGCCGCGUGUGUGAAGAAGGUCUUCGGGUUGUAAAGCACUUUCGACGGGGACGAUGAUGACGGUACCCGUAGAAGAAGCCCCGGCUAACUUCGUGCCAGCAGCCGCGGUAAUACGAAGGGGGCUAGCGUUGCUCGGAAUGACUGGGCGUAAAGGGCGCGUAGGCGGUCUACACAGUCAGAUGUGAAAUUCCAGGGCUUAACCUUGGGGCUGCAUUUGAUACGUGUAGACUAGAGUGUGAGAGAGGGUUGUGGAAUUCCCAGUGUAGAGGUGAAAUUCGUAGAUAUUGGGAAGAACACCGGUGGCGAAGGCGGCAACCUGGCUCAUUACUGACGCUGAAGCGCGAAA